rnacentral:tRNA from 1 species
AAAGAAUUAGUUAAUUUAAUAACAUUAAAAUGUCAAUUUAAAAUAAUACUCAUAUACUGUAUAUUCUUUU